rnacentral:rRNA from 1 species
AUGAACGCUGGCGGCGUGCCUAAUACAUGCAAGUCGAGCGAACAGACGAGGAGCUUGCUCCUCUGACGUUAGCGGCGGACGGGUGAGUAACACGUGGAUAACCUACCUAUAAGACUGGGAUAACUUCGGGAAACCGGAGCUAAUACCGGAUAAUAUAUUGAACCGCAUGGUUCAAUAGUGAAAGACGGUUUUGCUGUCACUUAUAGAUGGAUCCGCGCCGCAUUAGCUAGUUGGUAAGGUAACGGCUUACCAAGGCGACGAUGCGUAGCCGACCUGAGAGGGUGAUCGGCCACACUGGAACUGAGACACGGUCCAGACUCCUACGGGAGGCAGCAGUAGGGAAUCUUCCGCAAUGGGCGAAAGCCUGACGGAGCAACGCCGCGUGAGUGAUGAAGGUCUUCGGACCGUAAAACUCUGUUAUUAGGGAAGAACAAAUGUGUAAGUAACUAUGCACGUCUUGACGGUACCUAAUCAGAAAGCCACGGCUAACUACGUG